GGACCAAUAGCUCAGCUGGAUAGAGUACUUGACUACGAAUCAAGGGGUCGGGGGUUCGAAUCCUCCUUGGUCCG
rnacentral:tRNA from 1 species